GAGUUUGAUCGUGGCUCAGGAUGAACGCUGGCGGCGUGCCUAACACAUGCAAGUCGAACGGAGUUCUUAAGGAAUGCGGCUUCGGCCAAAUGACUUUUGAACUUAGUGGCGGACGGGUGAGUAACGCGUGAGCAACCUGCCUUUCAGAGGGGGAUAACAUUUGGAAACAGAUGCUAAUACCGCAUAAGAUUACAGUACCGCAUGAUACAGUGAUCAAAGGAGCAAUCCGCUGAAAAGAUGGGCUCGCGUCCGAUUAGAUAGUUGGUGAGGUAACGGCUCACCAAGUCGACGAUCGGUAGCCGGACUGAGAGGUUGAACGGCCACAUUGGGACUGAGACACGGCCCAGACUCCUACGGGAGGCAGCAGUGGGGAACAUUGCACAAUGGGCGAAAAGCCUGAUGCAGCAACGCCGCGUGAGGGAAGACGGUUUUCGGAUUGUAAACCUCUGUUUCGGUGACGAACAAAUGACGGUAACCGAGUAGGAAGCCACGGCUAACUACGUGCCAG
rnacentral:rRNA from 1 species